GUAAAUUUCUUCCGCUCUUACGAAAGUCAAAAGGAACUCUAACAAGUGUAGAAAAGAAAAAAGGAACGGACGAGGUAGCGCGAAGGGGCGCAUAGAGCGACUUGGAACUUUGGAAGUUCCCAGACGAUGGUUUCUGCCACCGGCUACGCUGGCCCGACCGCCGAGCAGCUGCGCGCUGCCGCCCGGGUGCCGGCUUAUGGGCGACAGCUGGUGGAGGUGUUCUCCUUGCGCCUCGUCGGCGGAGCAGCUGGGGCGCCUCCCUGCGGCACCGUGAGCGUCUCCGACGGCAAGCGCGGGCAGGUCGUCUACAGCCGCGAACGUGAUCAGCCCACCCGCUUCCACCCUUCUUCCCGUGCUCAGGAUGGACUCGUGCUAACUGGUCCACAUCGAGCUAUCUCCGCGGAUGGGAGUGUUGCAAUUACGCUUGACCUCGACGAUGGCAGCCAAGAACCACCACCUUCUUCGCAAGAGGGUGGUAACAAAACUGGCAAGAUUUCUUGGGACGUGUACCACCCGAGCGUGGAGCAUGACAAGGCCAUCUCCCAGACCGUCGACACUCGCUGCGGCCCUGCAGAGGUGACCUACGCCGUGCUGAGUAACGCGGUCGAAGGCGUCGUCGAGGUGAAGCUCGUCCAUGGAGAGGAUGGCGGCCCCGCCUGUGUCCGUGGGAGGAUCACCGCGCGUAGCCGGCUGUUCGAGGUUGGAAUCGUGCUCUUCGACAGCGAAUCCGACGAGAGCGUACUCGCGAGAGCGAGGCUGGAGGGAUUGUCGACGAUUCCGCUGGCCAGAUCCGUCCUCGCGGUGCCGUUAGCAUGGCCCCUCACGGUAGAGGCGGAUCUGCGUGCUCGCUCCGGCGAUGAGAUCGCGAAAGGCUAUCUGGAGUUCUAUCCUGAGCUUGACGGUCAGCACGUGAAGCGUCUUGUGGGCAGGAACGGGGAGAUUGAAGUGAAGAUCACGUGGUGGGACAAUUAAUCAUGUAACUCUCCAGAUGAUAGUUUCUCACGCCAGCCCACUCGAGGAGGCAAUCGGCAUGCAGGCAGCCAUCUGGUUGCUGCUCCUUCACAUCAUUCUUCAUCAUCCUCUCUGCUACUCCUCCAACAUCGAUUAAAAAUGAGUCAUCACGGAUUAACCAUGCAAUAUGUGUUGGAUUCGUCGUCGUCGGAUGAUGACGAUAAAGUGCUUCUUGUUGCAAGGCAGCUAGUCCACCAACAACACCAGCUCGGUAACGCUCAACUCUAUGGAGGUUCCGGCCUGGACGGCAGAAACUUCAACACGAUAGAGUUGGAGGGCAUGGAAGACUAUACCAAGAUUAUUUUUCAGAUAAUCCAAUAUACGACCCAAUGUUCUUCCGUCAUAGGUUUAGAAUGUCACGGUCUCUGUUUUUGCGCAUUGCAUAAGCUGUAGAAGGACAUGACCUCUAUUUUGUGCAGAGAAGAAAUGUAGCUGGACAACUUGGGUUAUCUCCUUUGCAGAAAAUUACUGGAACUUUACUUCAGCUAGUUUAUGGAGUACCAGCGGAUGCUACGGAUAAUUAUGUUCGUAUUGGAAAAAGCUGUUGGAACCCCACUCAUGACCUCAUUGUGAACACCGGAUUGUCCGGUGUAACUUGAACUCCAUCGCCGAACUAUCCGGUGAGUUAUCUUGAGUCAUCCGAGCCUCUGUAAUAUCUCUGUGUAAAAAGCUCCGGUGUUCAUUCCAUUCAUACCGAACCAUCCGGUGAGUUGAACAUUUUCUUCUUUUCCCUUGAAAUGCUUCGGUGCAAACUUCUUCUUUUCUUUUUUUCCCUUCGCUUGUUUGCUUGUAAACAAGUCGUACGUCACUGCAAAAAGCGAUAAGUAUCCUUGACAGAAAACAUGUUGGCGAGGCGUUGCCCAAUUCCGUGCCAACAGAUAUAUAUGUGGAUGUAUUGUUCUGCAUUGGCAUAUUGAGCACUGUGAUUGUUUUUUUGUUUUGGUGACUAAAAUGAUUUUUCCUGCAGAAUCUGUCAGCUAGGAAGUUGUAGUUAAUUCCACUUUCUAGUUGCUAUAAAAAUUUCAGAAUUUUAACUCGCACGAUUUAGGAGAUAUGACUGUUUGAAGUCAGCAGUAUGUUCUGUUUCAGUUCAGGAAAUUCAGUUUGAGCAGUGCUGCUUCUGCAGUCGAUUCGAUGACCUUAGCUAUGUUUCCUCAAAAUUUUCAUAGCUAGAAUGUUGUAGGGCUUGGAAUUAUGUUUCCAUUCAUGUAGAGUUCUCUGUCAUAGCCUUUGUGGUUUGUGAGAUAUGCCCUGUUGAAAUUUGCUGUCGCAGUUUUAGCUUCAGAUAAACAGUCUCUGUUCGAGGGAUGAUUCAGAGGUUUUGUAGACCUCUGAGUUGUGACCCAUCAAAACUAAAGUUGUAGAUCAUGGUGUUAUAUAUUUUUUUGUAAAAUUUUCAUGUCAUUUGGAGUUGUGGUUUGUCCGUGAUACUUGUCUGAAUGUUGCUGUCAAGAUGCGGGAGACAGAUUCAGUCAUCUGUUUUCAAUUGCAUGUUAGGCAUAGAUAAUUUCAGAAUUUAAAUAUCAUGUAUUCGUAGAAGUUGUAGCUCUCAUUCUCUAGUUUAAAGAAAUGUUAUAGUUUUAUAUGUUUUGUGUAGUAAGAAAAUACAAAAUUUUGAAGCAGAUUUGCUACGGUAUGUUUGAAUUUUCAGUUUGCCGGUUUUGUCGUGUCGUGGGGUUUUUGUAUGAGGUGAAUGCUUGAUUUUGUGUAUGCUUUUGAGAUGUUGUUACAUAAUGAAAAUGUAUUUGCACAGGUGGUGCUACUUCGGGAUGCAAUUAGUGCUGUCAUAUACAUGCCCUAAACUAAUUGCUACAAUCUAUCCAAGGGCUUGUUUCCUACAAUUUGCGAAUAAAAGGCAUGCCGAACUGAUGCGAUGGCACGCCGAGGAGUGCAAGGAUGAUGUAAUGCUGAGACACCCCGCUGAUUCUACGUAGUGGAGAACCAUCAAUAGGAAAUACAAGAAGCCCUUUGAAAAAGAUGUGAGGAAUAUAUGAUUUGGGUUGAGUACGGAUGAGAUGAAUCCAUUCGGCAAUAUGAGCAGCAGUCAUAGCAUUUGGACUAUGACUCUAUGUAUCUACAACCUUCUUUCUUAGUUGUGUAUGAAGCAGAAGUACAUUAUGAUGCCGGUGCUGAUACCAGGGCCAAGGCAACCUGUCAACGAUAUGGAUGUUUAUCUAAAACCAUUAAUGGAA